rnacentral:rRNA from 1 species
GAUGAACGCUGGCGGUGUGCCUAAUACAUGCAAGUCGAGCGAACAGACGAGGAGCUUACUCCUCUGACGUUAGCGGCGGACGGGUGAGUAACACGUGGAUAACCUACCUAUAAGACUGGGAUAACUUCGGGAAACCGGAGCUAAUACCGGAUAACAUGUUGAACCGCAUGGUUCAACAGUGAAAGACGGUCUUGCUGUCACUUAUAGAUGGAUCCGCGUCGCAUUAGCUAGUUGGUAAGGUAACGGCUUACCAAGGCAACGGUGCGUAGCCGACCUGAGAGGGUGAUCGGCCACACUGGAACUGAGACACGGUCCAGACUCCUACGGGAGGCAGCAGUAGGGAAUCUUCCGCAAUGGGCGAAAGCCUGACGGAGCAACGCCGCGUGAGUGAAGAAGGUCUUCGGAUCGUAAAACUCUGUUAUUAGGGAAGAACAAAUGUGUAAGUAACUAUGCACGUCUUGACGGUACCUAAUCAGAAAGCCACGGCUAACUACGUG